AUGAACGCUAGCUACAGGCUUAACACAUGCAAGUCGAGGGGCAGCAUGGUCUUAGCUUGCUAAGGCCGAUGGCGACCGGCGCACGGGUGAGUAACACGUAUCCAACCUGCCGUCUACUCUUGGACAGCCUUCUGAAAGGAAGAUUAAUACAAGAUGGCAUCAUGAGUCCGCAUGUUCACAUGAUUAAAGGUAUUCCGGUAGACGAUGGGGAUGCGUUCCAUUAGAUAGUAGGCGGGGUAACGGCCCACCUAGUCUUCGAUGGAUAGGGGUUCUGAGAGGAAGGUCCCCCACAUUGGAACUGAGACACGGUCCAAACUCCUACGGGAGGCAGCAGUGAGGAAUAUUGGUCAAUGGGCGAGAGCCUGAACCAGCCAAGUAGCGUGAAGGAUGACUGCCCUAUGGGUUGUAAACUUCUUUUAUAAAGGAAUAAAGUCGGGUAUGGAUACCCGUUUGCAUGUACUUUAUGAAUAAGGAUCGGCUAACUCCGUGCCAGCAGCCGCGGUAAUACGGAGGAUCCGAGCGUUAUCCGGAUUUAUUGGGUUUAAAGGGAGCGUAGAUGGAUGUUUAAGUCAGUUGUGAAAGUUUGCGGCUCAACCGUAAAAUUGCAGUUGAUACUGGAUAUCUUGAGUGCAGUUGAGGCAGGCGGAAUUCGUGGUGUAGCGGUGAAAUGCUUAGAUAUCACGAAGAACUCCGAUUGCGAAGGCAGCCUGCUAAGCUGCAACUGACAUUGAGGCUCGAAAGUGUGGGUAUCAAACAGGAUUAGAUACCCUGGUAGUCCACACGGUAAACGAUGAAUACUCGCUGUUUGCGAUAUACAGCAAGCGGCCAAGCGAAAGCGUUAAGUAUUCCACCUGGGGAGUACGCCGGCAACGGUGAAACUCAAAGGAAUUGACGGGGGCCCGCACAAGCGGAGGAACAUGUGGUUUAAUUCGAUGAUACGCGAGGAACCUUACCCGGGCUUAAAUUGCAGAUGAAUUACGGUGAAAGGCGUAAGCCGCAAGGCAUCUGUGAAGGUGCGGCAUGGUUGUCGUCAGCUCGUGCCGUGAGGUGUCGGCUUAAGUGCCAUAACGAGCGCAACCCUUGUUGUCAGUUACUAACAGGUUCCGCUGAGGACUCUGACAAGACUGCCAUCGUAAGAUGUGAGGAAGGUGGGGAUGACGUCAAAUCAGCACGGCCCUUACGUCCGGGGCUACACACGUGUUACAAUGGGGGGUACAGAGGGCCGCUACCACGCGAGUGGAUGCCAAUCCCCAAAACCUCUCUCAGUUCGGACUGGAGUCUGCAACCCGACUCCACGAAGCUGGAUUCGCUAGUAAUCGCGCAUCAGCCACGGCGCGGUGAAUACGUUCCCGGGCCUUGUACACACCGCCCGUCAAGCCAUGGGAGCCGGGGGUACCUGAAGUGCGUAACCGCGAGGAGCGCCCUAGGGUAAAACUGGUGACUGGGGCU
rnacentral:rRNA from 1 species